UACGGGGGGGAGCAAGCGUUGUUCGGAUUUACUGGGCGUAAAGGGCGCGUAGGCGGUCGUGACAAGUCACUUGUGAAAUCUCCGGGCUUAACUCGGAACGGUCAAGUGAUACUGUCGGACUAGAGUACAGAAGGGGGCAACUGGAAUUCUCGGUGUAGCGGUGAAAUGCGCAGAUAUCAGGAGGAACACCGGUGGCGAAGGCGGGUCUCUGGGCAACAACUGACGCUGAGGAGCGAAAGCGUGGGGAGCGAACAGG
rnacentral:rRNA from 1 species